rnacentral:rRNA from 1 species
GCAAGUCGAGCGCUUCCCUUCGGGGAGGAGCGGCGGACGGGUUAGUAACGCGUGGGAAUGUACCCUUUUCUAAGGAAUAGCCUCGGGAAACUGAGAGUAAUACCUUAUACGCCCUUUGGGGGAAAGAUUUAUCGGAGAAGGAUCGGCCCGCGUUAGAUUAGAUAGUUGGUGGGGUAACGGCCUACCAAGUCUACGAUCUAUAGCUGGUUUUAGAGGAUGAUC